rnacentral:misc_RNA from 1 species
AUGCAUAUCAAAUACAAGCCAUAAAAUCAAUUAUCAAAACUAUUCACUAUUUUGUACGAGAAGGUGAGCUAACUCCAAAAACCUGUCAUUAGUUCGGAUUACGAACUGCAACUCUUUUACGUGAGACCAAAAUUAUUGGUAAUCGUCAGUCAACCACAUGACAAUGAAUAUUGUUUCUGUAAAAUAGAGAUUCAGAAACAAAUUCAUGAAUACCAUCAAUAUCUUUUGAAAUGACAGUAAUAACGGCGAUAAUAAAUACUAAAGUUGCAGUUAAUAAAGUAGGGAUCUUCAAUAUGCGAA